GUCCAGAUUUUGAACAAAUCUCUCUAGGGAUUGAACAGAGCUGCGCCUGGAUCCUGCCACAGUGAGGAGACCUGAAGACCAGAGGAAGCACAGCAAGCCCUUGGAUCCUCCUGGAAUCCCCGAUCCCUGUUGCUCCCUUGCGGAGUUUUCUAGUCCGUCUUAUUUGAAGUAUGUCUUUCAGAGCCUCACACCACCCAGCUUGGGUAUGUGAUACCCCAUCAGCCUGGGUCUCUCUUUACUCCCUUUGUACACCUACAUCUAAACAUAGGGAUUUGGAUUAUCUCAGGAUCCCACAUCCUCACUGUACCCCCACCCCCACCCCUACCAUAUCAUUCUUAAGUUUUCUAGUCCCUCCUUUUCAUUUGUGCUCCUUAAAGCCCAGCCCCAUGCCUGACUUUGGUUCCCACUGAGUUCUGUUACAAGCAUUGUACAUUUAUAGAUAUUAAAUCUUUAGCCAGGUCA
rnacentral:lncRNA from 1 species